GUAAAGAUUCUUUUAUAGAUUUGUGGUAGUGAAAAAUUAAAAUGCUAUUAUGCUUGAGUGGUUAAUCUACUCUCUUAUUUCUCUUUUUGGCUUCUUUGAAGUCUAAGUUUUGAGUGAUCUUGUAAUUUGUUUUGGAAACAAAGAAAUGAUCUUGUAAUUUGUUUUGGAAACAAAGAAAGGUGAUUUUCACAUAAAUAAAGUAAGAUUUUUUAUGAUUACACGACGCUUCUACAUUCUUUCUAAACCAAGGUCCUGGGUUCAACCCCUAACUUGAGCACGA
rnacentral:lncRNA from 1 species